CUCAAGACAUUAAGUAACCCAAGGACCAGAACACAGUUUCCCUGACUCUCAAUCCCUGAACAAUAACUAGCAGAAAUAUUGUAUUAACAAAGUUCAAGAUGGGGUGGAUAGACCAGUGGUGGAGGACAGAAGAACCGAUCAAAGAACCGUUCAUCUGACUGACUUCAGCUAUGAAAUCCAGAGUGGAAAAUGAAUUUGCCUCC
rnacentral:lncRNA from 10 species